rnacentral:misc_RNA from 1 species
AAUAGGGGGAAUGUGAUUACUAAAACUGACUCAUUAGAACUUCUCCUUUUUGUAUGAUUACUGUAAUGUUUACAUAUUGAUCAAGAAUAGCUGCAGUGGAAAUUGAAGGUGAAAGAAAAAUUCACUGUCGCGAACGCAAAAUAUACAUAUGCAACACAGCCAUGAACUUCCUGGAACUUAAAUUCUAUGAACAGUUUAUACACCAAUAGCUUGUGUUUGUAGAUUUAAUAUUUCUCCCAUCUAUCAGGCAUCUCCCAAUAGUGAGUCUGCAACUCUUGUUGAUUCGCUAUCAUAGUUCCAUAGGUCUUUAAGUUCGCCUCUCAGCAAUCCCAGCAACACAUAAACUCCUAGCGUGCAGGGCACAAGAUAUAGGAGAGCAGGUUGACCAUGACCGUUCAUUAGGUACAUCCCCAAGUAUGUGAAUAGAAGACCAAUUCCAUAACCAACUACCAUCCAGAUGUAGUAUCCAUUUAGUACAUUCUUCUUUCUAGCUUUGUCAAAUCUGAAAGCAAAACAAACCAGCAAACCAGGAAACAGAAUAUCCCCAAAACCAAUCAUAUCAUAGCCACCAUAAGGAUCUGAUACUCGAGGAAUUCUCAGAAGCAUUGGAAUGGAUUCUCCGCCAGCUUUGUCACCGCGGGCAACUGCAAUCAUUACACUGUCAUGGAAUAUAGCAGGCGAAAGGAAAACCCAAAAGAUGUCGUAUAGAAAUGCACAACACAGAAGCACCGUAGCAACCAGGAAAGCAUCAUACUCUUGGAUCGGCCAAGAUAUUCUGGGAAUCUGUUUGAUGAUAAC